rnacentral:rRNA from 1 species
CCUACGGGAGGCUGCAGUGGGGAAUAUUGCACAAUGGGCGCAAGCCUGAUGCAGCCAUGCCGCGUGUGUGAAGAAGGCCUUCGGGUUGUAAAGCACUUUCAGCGGGGAGGAAGGCGGUGAGGUUAAUAACCUCAUCGAUUGACGUUACCCGCAGAAGAAGCACCGGCUAACUCCGUGCCAGCAGCCGCGGUAAUACGGAGGGUGCAAGCGUUGAUCGGAAUUACUGGGCGUAAAGCGCACGCAGGCGGUCUGUCAAGUCGGAUGUGAAAUCCCCGAGCUCAACCUGGGAACUGCAUUCGAAACUGGCAGGCUAGAGUCUUGUAGAGGGGGGUAGAAUUCCAGGUGUAGCGGUGAAAUGCGUAGAGAUCUGGAGGAAUACCGGUGGCGAAGGCGGCCCCCUGGACAAAGACUGACGCUCAGGUGCGAAAGCGUGGGGAGCAAACAGGAUUAGAUACCCGUGUAGUC